UACAGAGGGUGCAAGCGUUGUUCGGAAUUACUGGGCGUAAAGCGCGUGUAGGCUGCGAUGUAAGUCGGACGUGAAAGCCCUUGGCUUAACCAAGGAAGUGCAUCCGAUACUGUGUCGCUUGAGUACCGGAGGGGAUGGCGGAAUUCCCGGUGUAGUGGUGAAAUGCGUAGAUAUCGGGAGGAACACCAGUGGCGAAGGCGACUUCCUGGCCUGUUCUUGACGCUGAGGCGCGAAAGCUAGGGGAGCAAACGGG
rnacentral:rRNA from 1 species